AUGAACGCUGGCGGCGUGGAUAGGGCAUGCAAGUCAAGGGGGUCGCAAGACAACCGGCAGACGAGAUAGUAAUAAGUAGGUACGAACCUUCAAGUCAGGAAUAGCCUAUCGAAAGGUAGGGUAAUACUUGAUAGUCCCCAAUGAAAAUUUGUGGUAAAGAUUUAUCGCUUGAAGAUCGGCCUGCUCGGUAUCAGCUAGUUGGUAAGGUAAUGGCUUACCAAGGCAAUGACGCCUAGGGGGGGUGAGAGCCUGUUCCCCAUCGAUGGAACUGAGACACGGUCCAUACACCUACGGGUGGCUGCAGUCGAGAAUAUUCGACAAUGGGCGAAAGCCUGAUCGAGCGACGCCGCGUGCAGGAUGAAGUCUUUCGGGAUGUAAACUGCUUUUGUGAACUAGAAAGUUUAUUGAUCGGUUCAAGAAUAAGAGGUUGCUAAACUCGU
rnacentral:rRNA from 1 species